GAAAAUAACCUAUCUUCUGCUGCUGAUUUGUUUGUAAGAGAAGGCAAUAAUCAAUACAAUUCCAGCUUCAACAGCGCACGUUUAAAUAUGUCAAUAUUUGGUGCCUGUGGGGAUUCAGUUGCAGCAUUUGGCACCCAAAACUACAAGAGGGUUGUCCCAUAUCCCUUUGGUGAUGGCAGUAGAAAGCUUGGGAAAAUGAAUAGAGAUAAUUUGACAAGUAUUAAUGUCGAUAAUUUACGCCCCUUUUCCAAUGCAAGGGCAAGCAUAAAGCAGAAACAAGAAGACCAGUCCAUCCGCAAAAAGGACAUUCCCUUCAUAGAUUUUCUUGGUGUGGGUAUUUCUUCUUGAUAACUAUAUUAUUUAAUUCUUUUUCUUUCAAUUUACAUAGCACUAUUGGGAUGAAGAGUGCUUGUUAGUCAAGUAGAAUGCUCAAGUUUAAGUUAAAUCAUGGCUCAAUUAACAAUUUCAGUUUAAUUGUUUGAGAUUAGAGGAUAAUAAUGUAUUUUACAAUUUGUCAGAGUCUUUUGCUUUGUAUGACGUUCUAUUUAAUAUUGUGACAG
rnacentral:lncRNA from 1 species